rnacentral:sRNA from 1 species
AAGUCCCCCCUGAGUACCUCCCAGCCACACGUGCCUGCCAAGUAACAAAAAGAUACCUCGGCACAAUUAGCUAGUGCAUACUCUGCUAAGCUAUCUCUUGCUGCUAAGCUAUCCCUCACUGCUAAGCUAUCCCUCACUGCUAAGCUAUCCCUCACUGCUAAGCUAUCCCUUGCUGCUAAGCUAUCCAUCGCUGCUAAGCUAUCGCUCGCUGCUAAGCUAUCCCUUGCUGCUAAGCUAUCCAUCGCUGCUAAGCUAUCCCUCACUGCUAAGCUAUCCCUCGCUGCUAAGCUAUCCCUUGCUGCUAAGCCAUCCCUCACUGCUAAGCUAUCCCUCGCUGCUAAGCUAUCCCUCACUGCUAAGCUAUCCCUCACUGCUAAGCUAUCCCUCACUGCUAAGCUAUCCCUCGCUGCUAAGCUAUCGCUCGCUGCUAAGCUAUCCCUCGCUGCUAAGCUAUCCCUCGCUGCUAAGCUAUCCCUUGCUGCUAAGCCAUCCCUCACUGCUAAGCUAUCCCUCGCUGCUAAGCUAUCCCUCACUGCUAAGCUAUCCCUCACUGCUAAGCUAUCCCUCGCUGCUAAGCUAUCGCUCGCUGCUAAGAUAUCUCUCACUGCCAAUUUAUCUACCACUGCCAAUCUAUCCCUCACUGCUAAGCUAUCCCUUGCUAUCAAUUUAUCUACCACUGAUAAUCUAUCCCUCACUGCUAAGCCAUCCCUUGCUGCUAAGCUAUCCGUCGCUGCUAAGCUAUCCCUCGCUGCUAAGCUAUCCCUCACUGCUAAGCUAUCCCUUGCUGCUAAGCUAUCCCUUGCUGCCAAUUUAUCUACCACUGCUAAGCUAUCUCUCACUGCUAAGCUAUCCCUUGCUGCUAAGCUAUCCCUUGCUGCUAAGCUAUCCCUUGCUGCUAAGCUAUCCCUUGCUGCCAAUUUAUCUACCACUGCUAAUCUAUCUCUCACUGCUAAGCUAUCCCUUGCUGCCAAUCUAUUGCUGCUAAUCUAUCACUGCUAAUCUAUCACUGCUAAUCUAUUGCUGCUGUCAAUCUAUCACUGCUAAUCUAUCACUGUCA